rnacentral:rRNA from 1 species
AGCACAAGUGGUGGUCAUUAUUAUUGGGCCUAAAGCGUCCGUAGCUGGCUUGUUAGAUGCCUGGGUAAAUCGAUGCGCUCAACGUAUCGAACUCCGGGUAGACCGGCAAGCUUGGGACCGGGAGAGGCGUGAGCUACUCGAGGGGUAGGGGUAAAAUCCUGUAAUCCUUCGGGGAGGACCAGUGGCGAAGGCGUCACGCUAGAACGGCUCCGACAGUGAGGGACGAAGCCCUGGGGCGCAAACCGG